rnacentral:rRNA from 1 species
AGUGAACGCUGGCGGUAGGCCUAACACAUGCAAGUCGAACGGCAGCACAGUAAGAGCUUGCUCUUACGGGUGGCGAGUGGCGGACGGGUGAGGAAUACAUCGGAAUCUACUUUUUCGUGGGGGUUAACGUAGGGAAACUUGCGCUAAUACCGCAUACGACCUACGGGAGAAUGCAGGGGAUCUUCGGACCUUGCGCGAUUGAAUGAGCCGAUGUCGGAUUAGCUAGUUGGCGGGGUAAAGGCCCACCAAGGCGACGAUCCGUAGCUGGUCUGAGAGGAUGAUCAGCCACACUGGAACUGAGACACGGUCCAGACUCCUACGGGAGGCAGCAGUGGGGAAUAUUGGACAAUGGGCGCAAGCCUGAUCCAGCCAUACCGCGUGGGUGAAGAAGGCCUUCGGGUUGUAAAGCCCUUUUGUUGGGAAAGAAAAGCAGCAGGUUAAUACCCCGCUGUUCUGACGGUACCCAAAGAAUAAGCACCGGCUAACUUCGUG